UACAGAGGUCUCAACCGUUGUUCGGAUUCAUUGGGCGUAAAGGGUGCGUAGGCGGUCGCGCAAGUCGGAUGUGAAAUCUCAGGGCUCAACCCUGAAACUGCAUUCGAUACUGCGUGGCUAGAGUACUGGAGAGGAGACUGGAAUUUACGGUGUAGCAGUGAAAUGCGUAGAUAUCGUAAGGAAGACCAGUGGCGAAGGCGAGUCUCUGGACAGUUCCUGACACUGAGGCACGAAGGCCAGGGGAGCAAACGGG
rnacentral:rRNA from 1 species